rnacentral:rRNA from 1 species
UGGGGAAUUUUGCACAAUGGGCGCAAGCCUGAUGCAGCGACGCCGCGUGAGGGAUGAAGGCCUUCGGGUUGUAAACCUUUUUCGCUCAUGGUCAAGCCGCAGCUUUGGGUUGUGGUGAGGGUAGUGGGUAAAGAAGCGCCGGCUAACUACGUGCCAGCAGCCGCGGUAAUACGUAGGGCGCGAGCGUUGUCCGGAAUUAUUGGGCGUAAAGGGCUUGUAGGCGGUUGGCCGCGUCUGCCGUGAAAUCCUCUGGCUUAACUGGGGGCGUGCGGUGUGUACGGGUUGACUUGAGUGCGGUAGGGGAGACUGGAAUUCCUGGUGUAGCGGUGGAAUGCGCAGAUAUCAGGAGGAACACCGGUGGCGAAGGCGGGUCUCUGGGCCGUUACUGACGCUGAGGAGCGAAAGCGUGGGGAGCGAACAGG